UGUGCAGUAUGAGGUCUGUCCGUCUCCAUUUUGGAAGAGCGGAGUGAGGGAGAGAGUUGGGAUAGCGGCUUUUAAACUUGGAAAGAUCUGGUAAACAGGGAACAGUCCUCCUCAUGUACCAAGCGCUCGAUCGCUGCGUUUAGGGUUAAUAAGCUAUCAUAACUACGACUACUAGCGAGAAAAGACUAUUGAAGGACCAGAGCUUACGAUUCCUCAACGUGGCCUAAUACCCAACCCUUAAAGGAUCAUCUAACCGGGGCACGUACUGUUUACCGUGGGCUUGAAUUAAAACUGCAUCUCGAGUCGGGGAGCAGAUCCCCGCGGCCCUGUCGGAUCCAUAUACCCCCAAAACAGCCCACCUUUGUUCUGUCUCCGUUGUGGCAACAGUAACGAGAAUAAACCGCUCUCUUGUAUAAACACACAAAGGGAAUACAGUACAACAGCGAUGAACGAAGAAGUGGACGAAUUAUUCUCCGGAAACCACUCAGAUGAUGGCGGUGCCACUCCAGUGCAGGAUGAACACGAAGGCUCUGAUGCAGAAGGCGGCAGCCCUGCACCGCGCUCGGGUUCGGAGGCAGGCAGUGUAGGACUGCACUCGGAGGAAGAGAAAAGCGAUGAAGAUGACAGUCCCGCACACAGCAGGCAGAAGAACAGCAUGGCCAGUGAUUCAGAAAACGAAGACGCCCCCAGACAGCGAGGUAGCGACUCGGAAAAGGAAAAUGCUCCCAAGCCUCAUGACAGUGACUCGGAAAUUGAGGAGGAUCCUAAAAAUCAGGACAGUGACUCGGAAAAGGAGAAUGCUCCCAAGCCUCAUGACAGUGACUCAGAAAUUGAGGAGGCUCCCAAAAAUCAGGACAGUGACUCGGAAAAUGAAGCCGCUCCCAAACGUAAAGACAGUGACUCGGAAAAAGAGGAUGCACCCAAAAAUCAGGACAGUGACUCGGAAAAGGAGACUGCUCCCAGGCCUUAUGACAGCGACUCAGAAAUUGAGGAGGCUCCCAAAAAUCAGGACAGUGACUCGGAAAACGAAGCUGCUCCCAAACGUAAAGACAGUGACUCGGAAAAUGAGGAGGUUCCCAAAACCAAAGGGAGCGGGUCUGAAAAUGAGGACACCCCGAGACGCAAGCGCAGGAUAGAGUCAGAUGACGAGGCAGAUGGUGACAAAGAGAACGUCAGGAAGCAGAAGGGAGUGGUGAGUUCAGACAGCGAGGACGAGGUGAAGCCAUCACAAGCUGACGGCAGCGAUAGCGAGGAUGGAGAGGCACCCAAACGCCGCAAACUGGCUGAUAGUGAUGAGGAGGAGGAAGGGGAGAAACCAGUAAAGCGGAAGGUGGCGAUCCUGUCUGACAGCGAGGAUGAAGAGAAGGAAGAAACAUCCACUGUGAAGAAGAGCCGCAUCCUGUCGGAUGGAGAGGAAUCCGACACCAAUCAGAAGCUCAAGGCGCUGGGUUCAGACAGCGAGGAUGAGGAGGACAAGGAAGGAUCCACGAAGGAUGGGAAAACACUCUUUGGGAGUGACAGUGAGUCCGACAAUGAAGAGGAAAAAAUGAUUGCUGACAUUUUUGGGGAAUCUGGAGAAGAAGAUGAGGAGGAAGAAUUUACAGGGUUUAACCAGGAGGACCUGGAAGGAGAGAAGUCUAAAGCAGAGGCAGCAUCAAGGCAGCAGCAGGUGGCAGCAGCAGACUCCGACUCUGAUGACGUUGAAAGGGGUGGUAGAAAAGACUUCAUGUCUGACUUUGACGUGAUGCUGGCAAGGAAGAAAGCCCUGGGAGGGAAGCGACGGCGGAACCGUGACGGCGGCACGUUCAUCAGCGACGCGGACGACGUGGUCAGCGCCAUGAUCGCCAAGAUGACGGAGGCAGCCGAGGAGGACCGGACUCUGAAUGGCCAGAAGAAGCCAGCACUGAAGAAACUUACAUUGCUACCCACUGUCGUCAUGCACCUGAAGAAGCAAGAUUUAAAAGAGACGUUCAUUGACAGUGGUGUGAUGAGCGCUAUUAAAGAAUGGAUCGGCCCUCUCCCAGACAAGAGCUUGCCAGCGCUGAAGAUCCGAGAGGAGCUGCUCAGGAUCUUGCAAGAGCUGCCCAGUGUGAGCCAGGAGACCCUGAAGCACAGUGGGAUUGGCCGGGCUGUCAUGUACCUGUACAAGCACCCCAAGGAAUCCCGGAGCAAUAAAGACCUGGCGGGGAAGCUCAUCAAUGAGUGGUCCCGGCCCAUAUUUGGCUUGACGUCGAACUACAAGGCGAUGACGCGAGAGGAGAGGCAACAGAGAGAUCUGGACCAGCAGAUGCCAACACGUCGAAGACUGAGUUCUGGUGGACAGACUCCCCGCAGGGACCUGGAUAAGGUGCUCACAGGAGAAGAGAAGGCCCUGAGGCCAGGAGAGCCUGGGUUCUGUGCCCGUGCCAGGGUGCCCAUGCCCUCCAACAAGGACUACGUCGUGCGGCCAAGGUGGAAUGUCGAUACAGAAGCUAACCGGGCUGUGUCUUCAAAGAAAGGCCUCAGUCGCUUGGAGAAACACAAGAGACGCAUUGCUGAGCAGAGGAAGCGGCAAAAGCUACAGGGAGCUGUCAAGAUCAGCGUGGAGGGGAACCGAAUGCCUCUGUAGCACAUUGUGGCCAGCAAGGGGCAAGGGCCAAGGGCAAGGGGCAUCCUGACCAGGGGGUGCAAGUGGAACCUGCCCCUUCCUGGCACGGGGGCUUGACAUUGUGAGACAAAGCUUGCAGUGUGGUAGAACUCCUGCUCUCCCCAGUCCCUUGCUUUAGGUGUUCAGAAACAAAUGCCAACUAACCGUCUUUUAAUCAGUAUCAACAUAUUUCUUGUGAUUCAAGAAAGUAAGCUGUUGAGCACGUCCACCCAUUUCUCUUGCUAAGUGGUGCUGAAAGGAGGCAAAGUAGCUGGCCAAAUUUCACAGCGCUGUACACCUGAAGUCCCAUUGCUUAAGUCCUGGCUAAUCUUGGACUUUAGCACUAUUACUGUACUUUAGCAAACAAUAAAAUACUCCAUUGUAUUUGUUUUCUAGUACCAUUUGUUGUGGGCAAUCAUAGCAAAUUAUUGGCUGGUAUACACACUAAUGUAAUUGCAUACUGUACAAUGAAGACAAUGUUUUACUGCAGUUAUGAAAAGUUGCGUUUUCCAGUUCCGAGACUCCUGUCUUGGUCUUUGGAGAUGUGUAUUGUAUAACAUGGCUUGGGUGCUGCUGCUCCUGGUUGCAUGUCUGUGUGUGAAGAUCCCAUUCUUGCUCUCUGUAAAGCCUACAUUACCUCUUUCUAUAUCAACUGUACAGAAGUGCAACGUUGUGGAUUGUUUUUGCUGUGUUGAACUGCAUGCUGAUUUUUGGUGGUCUAACAGCAUCAGGUAGCCUGGUCUCCUUGGAGAGGGGCUAGUAAGAUUUCCCCCUCCUUCUGGACAGAUAGUCUGCCCUGAUGAUUGUUGCCCAAAAGCUAAGUGAACCAACAUUGAGAGCAUCACAGAGUGAGAGGUGCAGCUUGGUGAUGAGAGGCACCAGUAGGUGUUUAGGCAGCUGAACAAGAAUUUCAAUCCAGGAUCCCUUAAUGCUACUUCACACUUCCAUCGCUGAGGGACGUUUCAAUCUAGGCAUGUGCCUGUCUGGUGAUCCAAUUCCUGCCGGUCGGGUUACACGACCAUCUCAUGGGGCCAAUCAAGAAAGGGGUAACCCGCGUGGAUAAGCAGAUGCGGCGCUUUGCUGACAUCAAGAGGCUGACCAAGCCUGC